AAAGUGGAGCAAUCCAUGAGUACAGUGGCGUACGGGUGAGUAACACGUGGAUCAUCUACCUUUUAGUGGGGAAUACCCCCGGGAAACUGGGGAUAAUACCGCAUAAGCUCGUAAGAGGAAAGCAGCAAUGCGCUGAAAGAGGAGUCCGCGGCUGAUUAGCUAGUUGGUGAGGUAAUGGCUCACCAAGGCGAAGAUCGGUAGCCGGCCUGAGAGGGCACACGGCCACACUGGCACUGAAACACGGGCCAGACUCCUACGGGAGGCAGCAGUGGGGAAUCUUGCACAAUGGAGGAAACUCUGAUGCAGCGACGCCGCGUGAGCGAUGAAGCCCUUCGGGGUGUAAAGCUCUUUCGACGGGAACGAUAAUGACGGUACCCGAAAAAGAAGCUGCGGCUAACUACGUGCCAGCAGCCGCGGUAAUACGUAGGCAGCAAGCGUUGUUCGGAAUUACUGGGCGUAAAGAGUGUGUAGGCGGUGCUCUAAGUCUGUUGUGAAAUCUCCCGGCUUAACCGGGAGGGUGCGGCGGAAACUGGAGUGCUUGAGGGUGGGAGAGGUAAGCGGAAUUCCUGGUGUAGCGGUGAAAUGCGUAGAUAUCAGGAGGAACACCUGUGGUGUAGACAGCUUACUGGACCACUUCUGACGCUGAGACACGAAAGCGUGGGUAGCAAACAGGAUUAGAUACCCUGGUAGUCCACGCCCUAAACGAUGCAUACUUGGUGUGAGCGAUUCAUUUCGUUCGUGCCGGAGCUAACGCGUUAAGUAUGCCGCCUGGGGAGUACGGUCGCAAGGCUGAAACUC
rnacentral:rRNA from 1 species